rnacentral:rRNA from 1 species
CGGACGGGUGAGUAAUGCUUGGGAAUCUGGCUUAUGAGGGGGAGUAACUACGGGAAACUGUAGCUAAUACCGCGUAGUAUCGGAAGAUGAAAGUGCGGGACCGUAAGGCCGCAUGCCAUGGGAUGAGCCCAAGUGGGAUUAGGUAGUUGUGGGGUAAAGGCCUACCAAGCCUGCGAUCUCUAGCUGGUCUGAGAGGAUGGCCAGCCACACUGGAACUGAGACACGGUCCGG